rnacentral:rRNA from 1 species
ACCCGUUGAUCCUGCGGGAGAUCGCUGCUAUUUGGAUUCGACUAAGCCAUGCAAGUCUAGCCUCGCAAGAGACUGGCUACUGCUCAGUAACACGUCGAUAAUCUGCCCUUAAGUCUGGAAUAACCUUGGGAAACUGAGGAUAAGACCGGAUAGGAAAAUAAUUCUGGAAGGAAUAUUAUCUUAAAGGUAACGCUUAAGGAUGAGUCGGCGGCGGAUUAGGCUGUUGGUGAGGUAAAGGCUCACCAAACCAAAGAUCCGUACGGGCUCUGAGAGGAGUAGCCCGGAGAAGGGCACUGAGAUACAGGCCCUAGCCCUACGGGGUGCAGCAGGCGCGAAACCUUUACAAUGCACGCAAGUGUGAUAAGGGAAUCCAAAGUGCUAUACAUACGUAUGGCUUUUGCCAAGAGUAAAUAUCUUGGAGAAUAAGUGGUGGGAAAGACUGGUGCCAGCCGCCGCGGUAACACCAGCGCCACAAGUGGGAAUCGUGUUUAUUUGGCCUAAAGCGUCCGUAGCUGGUUCAGUAAAUCUUUUGUGAAAUUGUUGGGCUCAACCCAACAGCGUGCGGGAGAGACUGCUGGACUAGGGACCGGGAGGAGUCAGAGGUAUGCUGAGGGAGCGGUAAAAUGCUAUAAUCCUCGGUAGACCACCUGUGGCGAAGGCGUCUGACUAGAACGGGUCCGACAGUGAGGGACGAAAGCCAGGGGAGCAAACCGGAUUAGAUACCCGAGUAGUCCUGGCUGUAAACACUGCGAGCUAGGUGUCGCAUAUUCUCCGUGAAUGUGCGGUGUCGAAGCGAAGGCGUUAAGCUCGCCGCCUGGGAAGUAUGGUCGCAAGACUGAAACUUAAAGGAAUUGGCGGGGGAGCACUACAAGGGGUGCGGCGUGCGGUUUAAUCUAACUCCACACAGAGAAUCUCACCAGAAGCGACGGCAGGAUGAAGGUCAGUCUAAAGGGCUUACCUGACGAGCCGAGAGGUAGUGCAUGGCCGCCGUCAGCUCGUGCCGUAAGGUGCCCUGUUAAGUCAGGCAACGAGCGAGACCUGCAUCCACAAUUGCUAACGACUCAUUUUGAGAAUUGAGCACAUUGUGGGGACUGCCUUGGAAACAAGGAGGAAGGUGCAGGCAACGGUAGGUCUGUAUGCUCCGAAUCUUCUGGGCUACACGCGCGCAACAAUGGUGCAGACAAUGGGCUGCAACUCCGAAAGGAGAAGCUAAACCUCGAAACUGCAUCUUAGUCCGGAUUGAGGUUUGUAACUCAGCCUCAUGACGCUGGAAUCCCUAGUAAUCGAAUAUCAUCAGUGUUCGGUGAAUAUGUCCCUGCUCCUUGCACACACCGCCCGUCAAACCACCCGAGUAGGGUCUAGAUGAGGCUUAAUUUUUAAUUAAAUCGAAUCUAAGCUUUGCGAGGAGGGUUAAGUCGUCACAAGGUA